rnacentral:lncRNA from 10 species
GAAAUUAUUUUAGCAUCCUUAUUUCCAAAUCCUCUAAACACCCUGAGGACAUGUGAUGCAAAGGUUUUAUUGGUGGAGAUUUGAAAAGAAAUGAUCUGUACGAAGGCCCCUUACACAGUCUCAUGGACUGUGUCAUGAGCAAGUAGUCAAGCUCCUUUCGUGGAGGAGAUAAUUUGGGAUCCAAUAAUACAGAUGCACAAUCUCUGACCAAAAAGUCACAAAGUCUUAAGGGACAUGGCCUGGGCACAAUGUUAACAAAACUCCCUAUUUUCCCCACCCCAUAGUAGCUCAACACCCACAAUGUGCACUUAUAUCCGGUGUCCCCAGCCAAAGCCAGUGGGAAGCUCAGCACCAUCAGUGUCACUGUCAGCGCUGCCAUGCGGGAGCCUCCAGGGAGCUUCACACACCAUGCUGGAGAACAGGAAAGGACCAGGGGCCAGAGGAGGAGGUCUUUCGAUACUGGAAAAUGCUGUGAUUCUGUGGACGCCUGAAGGAGCAGCAGCCCCGGGUAUCUGAUAAUAUGACAGAAUGACAGCUAUUGACUAGAGAGCUUAAUCCGUACCUGUUUACAGGAUUGAGGCUAUCAAGCUACAGAUGGUCUUACAAAUGGAACCUCAAAUGUGCUCAACUAACAACUUCUACUGAGGACCCCUGGACCAACCCACUGGCCCUUUCACUGGCCUAAAGAGUUCCUCUCUGGAGGACACUACAACUGCAGGGCCCCUUCUUUGCCCCUAUCCAGCAGGAAGUACCUAGAAUGGUCAUCACCCAAUUCCCAACAGCAGUUGGGGUGUCCUGUUCAGAGGGGGGAUUGAGAGGUGAAGCCAGCUGGACUUCUGGGUCGAGUGAGGACUUAGAGAACUUUUCUGUCUGGCUAAAGGAUUGUAAAUUCACCAAUCAGCACUCUGUGUCUAGCUCAAGGAUUGUAAACACACCAAUCAGCACUCUGUAAAAUAGACCAGUCAGCACUCUGUAAAAUGGACCAAUCAGCAGGACAUGGGCAGGGCCAAAUAAGGGAAUAAAAGCUGGCCACCCGAGCCAGCAGUGGCAACCCACUUGGGUCCCCUUCUGCGCUGUGGAAGCUUUGUUCUUUCGCUCUUCACAAUAAAUCUUGCUGCUGCUCACUCUUUGGGUCCGCACUACCUUUAUGGGCUGUAACACUCACCACAAGGGUCUGCAGCUUCAUUCUUGAUGUCAGCAAGACCUAGAACCCACCAGAAGGAAUAAAUUCUGGACACACUUUCACCCAGUUUUUCCAAAUGUUUAUAUCUUAAGUAGCUCUAGCACACUAGCAAAACCAGGAAACUGACUUUGGUAUAAUAUGUGUCCAUAGUUCUAUGCCUUGUCUUAUCAUUUUUGCAGAUUUAUGUAACCACCACGCAAUCCAGUGGAGAGCUAUUCCAUCCCACAGAGAUCUCCCCUCAUGCUGCCCUUUAGAGUCACAACCCACUCCCUACACAUCAUCACCCUGACAACUGACAACCACUAAUCUCUUCUCCACCAAUCUCUAUAAUAGCGUCAUUCUGAAAAUGUUACAUAAAUAGAAUCACACAGUAUGUGACUUUUGUGACUGGCAUUUUCCCCUCAGCAUAAUGUCCUUGAGAUCCAUCCAAGAUGUUGCGUGUAUCAACAAUUUGCUCUUUUUUAUUGCUAAGGAAUACUCUAUCAGACGGAGGCACUGCAGUUUAACUAUUUCCCUGUUGAGGGACAUUUUGGCUGUUUCUAUUUUGGGGCUAUUACAAAUAAAGUUGUUGUGAACACUUGUGUAAGAUUUUUGUGUGAACAUGUGUUUUUAUUUCUCUGAUAUAAAUGUCCCAGAAUGUAAUUCCUGGCUCAUGUGGCAAAUAUAUGUCUAGUUCUUC